GACAGAGGCCUCAAGCGUUAGGCGGAAUCACUGGGCUUAAAGCGUGUGUAGGCGGAUCGUUAAGUGUCUUGUGAAAUCCCACGGCUCACCCGUGGAACUGCUGGGCAUACUGGCGAUCUUGGGCCAACUAGGGGCAGCCGGAACAAGCGGUGGAGUGGUGAAAUGCGUAGAUAUCGCUUGGAACGCCGAAGGUGAAAACAGGCUGCUGGGGUUGUGCCGACGCUGAGACACGAAAGCCAGGGGAGCAAACGGG
rnacentral:rRNA from 1 species